rnacentral:rRNA from 1 species
GACGAACGCUGGCGGCGUGCUUAACACAUGCAAGUCGAACGGAAAGGCCCUGCUUUUGUGGGGUGCUCGAGUGGCGAACGGUUGAGUAACACGUGAUUAACCUUCCCUUGACUUUGGGAUAACUUCAGGAAACUGGGGCUAAUACCGGAUAGUAGCUCCUGCUGCAUGGUGUGGGUUGGAAAGUUUCGGCGGUUGGGGAUGGACUCGCGGCUUAUCAGCUUGUUGGUGGGGUAGUUGCUUACCAAGGCUUUGACGGGUAGCCGGCCUGAGAGGGUGACCGGCCACAUUGGGACUGAGAUACGGCCAAGACUCCUACGGGAGGAAGCAGUGGGGAAUAUUGCACAAUGGGCGGAAGCCUGAUGCAGCAACGCCGCGUGCGGGAUGACGGCCUUCGGGUUGUAAACCGCUUUCGCCUGUGACGAAGCGUGAGUGACGGUAAUGGGUAAAGAAGCACCGGCUAACUACGUG